rnacentral:rRNA from 1 species
GACGAACCGUGCGAACGUUGUUCGGAAUCACUGGGCUUAAAGGGCGCGUAGGCGGGCAGGCGAGUCCGGGGUGAAAUCUUUCGGCUCAACCGGAAAAGGGCCUCGGAGACCGGCUGCCUCGAGGAAGGUAGGGGCACGCGGAACUUCCGGUGGAGCGGUGAAAUGCGUUGAUAUCGGAAGGAACGCCGGUGGCGAAAGCGGCGUGCUGGACCUUUACUGACGCUGAGACGCGAAAGCCAGGGGAGCGAACGGG